rnacentral:rRNA from 1 species
CAGGGGGUGCAAACGUUGCUCGGAAUUAUUGGGCGUAAAGCGCGCGUAGGCGGCCACUUAAGUCGGAUGUGAAAGCCCUUGGCUCAACUGAGGAAGUGCACCCGAAACUGAAUGGCUUGGGUACUAAAGAGGGUCGCGGAAUUCCCGGUGUAGAGGUGAAAUUCGUAGAUAUCGGGAGGAACACCGGUGGCGAAGGCGGCGACCUGGGUAGAUACUGACGCUGAGGCGCGAAAGCGUGGGGAGCAAACAGGAUUAGAUACCCUGGUAGUCCACGCCGUAAACGAUGGGUGCUAGAUGUUUCUGGUAUUGACCCCGGAGGCGUCGUAGCUAACGCGUUAAGCACCCCGCCUGGGAAGUACGGCCGCAAGGCUA